UACGAAGGGGCUAGCGUUGCUCGGAAUCACUGGGCGUAAAGGGUGCGUAGGCGGGUUUUUAAGUCAGGGUGAAUCCUGGAGCUCAACUCCAGAACUGCCUUUGAUACUGGCGAUCUUGAGUCCGGGAGAGGUGAGUGGAACUGCGAGUGUAGAGGUGAAAUUCGUAGAUAUUCGCAAGAACACCAGUGGCGAAGGCGGCUCACUGGCCCGGUACUGACGCUGAGGUGCGAAAGCGUGG
rnacentral:rRNA from 1 species